rnacentral:rRNA from 1 species
GACAGCAGUCGCCGCGGUAAUACGAAGGGUGCAAGCGUUAAUCGGAAUUACUGGGCGUAAAGCGUGCGUAGGCGGUUUGUUAAGUCUGUUGCGAAAUCCCCGGGCUCAACCUGGGAAUGGCAAUGGAUACUGGCAAGCUAGAGUGUGUCAGAGGAUGGUGGAAUUCCCGGUGUAGCGGUGAAAUGCGUAGAGAUCGGGAGGAACAUCAGUGGCGAAGGCGGCCAUCUGGGACAACACUGACGCUGAGGCACGAAAGCGUGGGGAGCAAACAGGAUUAGAUACCCCCGUAGUCCCUGUCUCUUAUAC